rnacentral:lncRNA from 1 species
UUGCAAUGCACAAAUAUUAUAGGAUGUUACAAUAUAUGGAAUAUAGUGUAGGCAAUUUGAAAUUAUAUUGCUUCCCAAGUUAGGUGGACUUCUGUUCUUUAAAAGACUUGAACCAUCCAAAACUUUAGUUAUCGACUAUAUUUUAAAAUUAAAACAAGAGCAUACCUAUUCAAGUCAAACUAGAGUUAUUUUUUCCCUUUCAACUUUUUAUUUUUUUCUGUUAGCACUCAAGUGAUUGUGAUUGGAUCUAUCUUUAGUAUAAUAAGUUUUUACUUGAAUUGUUGGGAAUUUCACACUAAGAAGAGCCUAUAUUGGAUUUAUUGCCUACAGAUCAACACUUGUAAACUCUCUUAUUACUGGUAUAUCAUCUGAUAUUGUUAUAAAUGAUCUUUAAAGUGGACACAAGCACAAGCGAAUCUGGAUUUAGCAUGCAGGUCAGUGCUAUAUAUAGAUAAAAAAGUUGUGGAAGAAAGAAAUCAACAUAUUACUUUUUUAGUACUAAAUAAGUGCAUGAUGUAUAACCUGUUUUGCAUAGAGGAAGAAAAUUGAUCUACCAUAUCAAGGAAAAUUGGAACAUUUUCUUUCUGAUAAUACUUUUGAAGGACCAAUUACAAUUGUAUGGUGUAUUCUUCACCGCAACAAUCUAUUGAUCUUAAGGAAUUGGAGAAUAUGAUUGACAAGAUUGUCCUCUGUCGAUUGCAUAUAAAGUCUAUGGAUGCUUCUACCAAUGAUAGUACACCACAACCGUUCAUUGUUAUAGAUAUUACUGAACAUAUAACUAAAUUGGUAGAGAGGAAGUUUACCAACUUCCUUCAAACAUUUACCAAUAUUUACCAACUAUGAUUCACUUGAGGUAUUUAUUAAUAACUAUAUUUUUGUCUUUGUCCUUCAUUAAUCUCCCUCUAUCCAUUAAUUUAAGUUCACCAGGUUUAUUUUUUCUUAUUCCUCACCUUGUUGAAAUUGAUUUUUUGUGUUUCUUUUGCAGGAGGAACUUUACAGGCCCAACCUUGAUUUCCUUGAAGAAAUGAUGAUGAAGUGGACCUAACAUGAUGUACACUUCAUUCCUUCUAGCUCGUUGUUAUUUUUUUUUUAUAGUUUUUUUAUGUUAGUUAUUAAAUAUUUUAAGUAAUAUGAUCCUUGGGAGAUCAAGAUACAAUAACAAAUUAUGUACUUAUUGUGACUUGAGCAUUAUCUAUUUAUAUAUGGAG